rnacentral:lncRNA from 14 species
AUGACAAUCCAGACUUUAUGUUUGAAGUCACCUGUCAGAUGUUGUCAUUCAGAAAUGAUUAUGAGAACCAGAAAAUACAUCACCAAAUGUGACACUAAGAAAUGCAGAAGGAUUUCUCUGACACCCAAUACCUUCUUGUCCAUUGGCACCUAUGUGAGUGAAGGAAGAGGUGACCUUAUUCUGUUGUCCGUCGUUGAUUUGCAGCUCCUUAUGCUCCGGCUCCUGUUGCAGAAAACUCCCUCUGCUUCAGGAGAACCAGAUGUUGUCUUAAGAUCUGUCAUCUGCCAAGUCAGUUUUACUGUUUCAAGCUUUCAGUGUGUUGUAACAUUCUGACAACAGUUUUGUGGUUUCAGAGGCUGGUUAUUUUUUGCAACUAAAUAACUAAAUAAAUAAUGGGCUUCAUGGGUCUGAACA